rnacentral:rRNA from 1 species
AGAUCUCCCAUUCGUAUAACGAAGUAAGACCCCUUGAAGACGACGAGGUGGAUAGGUCAGAGAUGGAAGUGUAGCGAUACAUGGAGUUGACUGAUACUAAUAGGUCGAGGACUUAAUCAC